rnacentral:lncRNA from 1 species
GCACCACCACCGCCAAUGUCGACGUGGGUGUCGUCACCUUCAAGCCAAGAUUCGGACUGUCUUCAUUUAUUUGAAUAAAGGAGAUUGGGCAAGAAUCUAAAAUGUCAAAUCGCCCAUCUUACAGACGAGUAGAAGGUUUGGUGGAAUUCCUGGAGCAAAAUUGAGCAAUAGCCAAAGGUUUGCUUCGGACGAGUCAAGGGAAGCUAGAAACUAAGCGAAAAUGGGCAAGCUUGGCAACUUCCUUGAAUUCCCUUGGAGGAGCCAAUAAAAAUGGUCAAGGCUGGGCUAAGUAUUGGGCUGAAAAUAAAUGUGGAUUGAAGAAGCAGUGCUCACAACUCUCAUCUUCAAUGAGGCGCACUGGUGACGGGAUAGCUGACAAUUUGCCAACAUUGUCUGCUCUAGAUAAUUUUGACUGCCACCAGCAGUGAUGGGUGGACAAGAAUUUGCAAGAGGCGAUUAAGCUUGGCAGUCAAUCCAUUUCCUGAAUUGAGGACGACUGUCUCACCGGUUGCUAUAGACUCUUCUACUGUAAGCAACAACGAGGUGAUGGAAAUGCACUUUGAGCAACCGGUGCAUGUUUCCCCUGUACCUGGCACGUCACACAGUGAAGUGAUACCAGACACCAUAAUACCUGAGACCACACCACUACCGGAGACUAUUACGUCACGACGGAGACGCCGACGCCAGACUUCAACUCACAGAGGGGAUACAAUAACAAUGGAACGUUUUGCGACUAUGGAAGAACAGCGGGUUGAAGCAGAAUUGACAACCGCCCGAGCAUUUGCUCAGUUGGCAGAACAAGUUGGGAAUAUGGAAAGGGCUUUGUCAUCUGUCACUGAUGCAAUUACAGACUUAGUAAGAAAAAUGCCAGACCGUAGCUCUUCUUGAUAUGUAUAAAACAAGUCAAUUUUUCAAAUUGGUUUAAUAGUUUCGGAGCCUUUAUUGCCUUUAGGUCAAAUAAACAUCAAAAUGUUUCUUCUUUAUUAUAUUAGUAUUGUAGUGUUCCUAAUCAAGCAAUGUGCCAUAAAUAGCCGUCUUAAAACUCUAAAAGUUUUCUAGUAAGUAAGUCUUCAAGUUUAGAGUAUAACACCAAGCUCCACUGCUCUGCACGGAAUACUGUGGAACGUACCAUUGGUGUACUCAAAAACCGAUGGCGGUGCUUAAUCGGUCAUAGGGUUUUUCACUAUCAUCCUGAUGUAGCAGCCAAAAUAAUUAAUGCUUGUUGUGUCUUACACAACAUGUGUAUCAAUAUCAUUGAAAUUGAUUUUGAUGAGAAUACAGCAGAGCAUCAGAAUGAUUACCUAACUGUCUCUUCCCAAGAGUCAACUAGCAACACAGCUGUUGAACUAAGACAAGGCAUCGAAAAGCGAAAUAUUUUAGUUCAGCAGUUGUGGUCAUGCAGAAGGUAGAUUAAAGGUAUGAUACAAUUAAAUUCAUUAAUUAUAAGUCUGAUAUAACUAACAUGAGGCGGAACAAUAUAUUUGGUACGCAGCGGAACCUCUACCUCUAAAUUUGCAUUUUAUUUAUUUAUUUAUUUAUUUAUACUUCAUGCACAUUUCGUACAAUGGCGGACUUAACGCCUUAGGCGUUUUCUCCCAGUCUACCUUUAGGUGGUGGAGAAAUAGCAGUGGUAGGUGCAAGGUUUUUGUUUGGAUAGUUAGUUUAAAAGUAUACAAUACUGCAUUUUGUAAUUUCAGCUAAAAUGUCAA